rnacentral:rRNA from 1 species
GGACCAUCCUCCAAGGCUAAAUACUCCUGACUGACCGAUAGUGAACCAGUACCGUGAGGGAAAGGCGAAAAGAACCCCGGCGAGGGGAGUGAAAAAGAACCUGAAACCGUGUACGUACAAGCAGUGGGAGCACAGAGCAAUCUGUGUGACUGCGUACCUUUUGUAUAAUGGGUCAGCGACUUAUAUUCUGUAGCAAGGUUAACCGAAUAGGGGAGCCGAAGGGAAACCGAGUCUUAACUGGGCGUUAAGUUGCAGGGUAUAGACCCGAAACCCGGUGAUCUAGCCAUGGGCAGGUUGAAGGUUGGGUAACACUAACUGGAGGACCGAACCGACUAAUGUUGAAAAAUUAGCGGAUGACUUGUGGCUGGGGGUGAAAGGCCAAUCAAACCGGGAGAUAGCUGGUUCUCCCCGAAAGCUAUUUAGGUAGCGCCUCGUGAAUUCAUCUCCGGGGGUAGAGCACUGUUUCGGCAAGGGGGUCAUCCCGACUUACCAACCCGAUGCAAACUGCGAAUACCGGAGAAUGUUAUCACGGGAGACACACGGCGGGUGCUAACGUCCGUCGUGAAGAGGGAAACAACCCAGACCGCCAGCUAAGGUCCCAAAGUCAUGGUUAAGUGGGAAACGAUGUGGGAAGGCCCAGACAGCCAGGAUGUUGGCUUAGAAGCAGCCAUCAUUUAAAGAAAGCGUAAUAGCUCACUGGUCGAGUCGGCCUGCGCGGAAGAUGUAACGGGGCUAAACCAUGCACCGAAGCUGCGGCAGCGACGCUGAUGCGUUGUUGGGUAGGGGAGCGUUCUGUAAGCCUGUGAAGGUGUGCUGUGAGGUAUGCUGGAGGUAUCAGAAGUGCGAAUGCUGACAUAAGUAACGAUAAAGCGGGUGAAAAGCCCGCUCGCCGGAAGACCAAGGGUUCCUGUCCAACGUUAAUCGGGGCAGGGUGAGUCGACCCCUAAGGCGAGGCCGAAAGGCGUAGUCGAUGGGAAACAGGUUAAUAUUCCUGUACUUGGUGUUACUGCGAAGGGGGGACGGAGAAGGCUAUGUUGGCCGGGCGACGGUUGUCCCGGUUUAAGCGUGUAGGCUGGUUUUCCAGGCAAAUCCGGAAAAUCAAGGCUGAGGCGUGAUGACGAGGCACUACGGUGCUGAAGCAACAAAUGCCCUGCUUCCAGGAAAAGCCUCUAAGCAUCAGGUAACAUCAAAUCGUACCCCAAACCGACACAGGUGGUCAGGUAGAGAAUACCAAGGCGCUUGAGAGAACUCGGGUGAAGGAACUAGGCAAAAUGGUGCCGUAACUUCGGGAGAAGGCACGCUGAUAUGUAGGUGAAGUCCCUCGCGGAUGGAGCUGAAAUCAGUCGAAGAUACCAGCUGGCUGCAACUGUUUAUUAAAAACACAGCACUGUGCAAACACGAAAGUGGACGUAUACGGUGUGACGCCUGCCCGGUGCCGGAAGGUUAAUUGAUGGGGUUAGCGCAAGCGAAGCUCUUGAUCGAAGCCCCGGUAAACGGCGGCCGUAACUAUAACGGUCCUAAGGUAGCGAAAUUCCUUGUCGGGUAAGUUCCGACCUGCACGAAUGGCGUAAUGAUGGCCAGGCUGUCUCCACCCGAGACUCAGUGAAAUUGAACUCGCUGUGAAGAUGCAGUGUACCCGCGGCAAGACGGAAAGACCCCGUGAACCUUUACUAUAGCUUGACACUGAACAUUGAGCCUUGAUGUGUAGGAUAGGUGGGAGGCUUUGAAGUGUGGACGCCAGUCUGCAUGGAGCCGACCUUGAAAUACCACCCUUUAAUGUUUGAUGUUCUAACGUUGACCCGUAAUCCGGGUUGCGGACAGUGUCUGGUGGGUAGUUUGACUGGGGCGGUCUCCUCCUAAAGAGUAACGGAGGAGCACGAAGGUUGGCUAAUCCUGGUCGGACAUCAGGAGGUUAGUGCAAUGGCAUAAGCCAGCUUGACUGCGAGCGUGACGGCGCGAGCAGGUGCGAAAGCAGGUCAUAGUGAUCCGGUGGUUCUGAAUGGAAGGGCCAUCGCUCAACGGAUAAAAGGUACUCCGGGGAUAACAGGCUGAUACCGCCCAAGAGUUCAUAUCGACGGCGGUGUUUGGCACCUCGAUGUCGGCUCAUCACAUCCUGGGGCUGAAGUAGGUCCCAAGGGUAUGGCUGUUCGCCAUUUAAAGUGGUACGCGAGCUGGGUUUAGAACGUCGUGAGACAGUUCGGUCCCUAUCUGCCGUGGGCGCUGGAGAAUUGAGGGGGGCUGCUCCUAGUACGAGAGGACCGGAGUGGACGCAUCACUGGUGUUCGGGUUGUCAUGCCAAUGGCACUGCCCGGUAGCUAAAUGCGGAAGAGAUAAGUGCUGAAAGCAUCUAAGCACGAAACUUGCCCCGAGAUGAGUUCUCCCUGACUCCUUGAGAGUCCUGAAGGAACGUUGAAGACGACGACGUUGAUAGGCCGGGUGUGUAAGCGCAGCGAUGCGUUGAGCUAACCGGUACUAAUGAACCGUGAGGCUUAACCUU